rnacentral:siRNA from 1 species
UUUGUGGACCAACUACUCCAUUG